rnacentral:lncRNA from 1 species
GGCUUAGGAGAAGGACCGCACCAAGUACAUCACUACCUUGCUGAUGCUUCACAGGGAUGGAACAGACUCGAAGUAGGCUACUGCAAAGUUGUUAACUUGUUGAAUGCCUUGUACACGCUGUUCAACGCCUUCAUUUCCAACUAUGACGUCUAAAAGGUUGAAAGUAUCGAUGAUGCCUACAUGUUGGUCUCCUGCCUACUGAUCCGUAAUGGCAGCCGUCAUGCUGGUAUGAUCGCCUCCACUGCAUGGCAUCUCCUGGAGGGCGUUGAUAGUUGAUCAUGCCACACAAACUGACAAGAUGAGAAACUCAAACUCCUCAUCGGUAUUCACUCAGGGCAAAGGUGAAAGCCUGACGUACUGGCUCGAGGGACAUGAUCCAAGCUACAAGAUCGACCAAAUCAAGCCACCCAAACAAAACUUGUAAACAACCAGAAUAUUAUCCCAACAUUAUCUGCAACGCAUUUGGAUCAGCAAUUUUUUGUAAAGAGGUGAUGGCAGAUCUACCAGCUCACUUCACAUCAGAGAGCUCUCUUGAGAAGCACUAUAGAAG